rnacentral:rRNA from 1 species
AUUGAACGCUGGCGGCAUGCUUUACACAUGCAAGUCGAACGGUAACAGGUCUUCGGAUGCUGACGAGUGGCGAACGGGUGAGUAAUACAUCGGAACGUGCCUGGUAGUGGGGGAUAACUACUCGAAAGAGUAGCUAAUACCGCAUGAGAUCUACGGAUGAAAGCAGGGGACCUUCGGGCCUUGUGCUACUAGAGCGGCUGAUGGCAGAUUAGGUAGUUGGUGGGGUAAAGGCUUACCAAGCCUGCGAUCUGUAGCUGGUCUGAGAGGACGACCAGCCACACUGGGACUGAGACACGGCCCAGACUCCUACGGGAGGCAGCAGUGGGGAAUUUUGGACAAUGGGCGAAAGCCUGAUCCAGCAAUGCCGCGUGCAGGAUGAAGGCCCUCGGGUUGUAAACUGCUUUUGUACGGAACGAAAAGCCUGGGGCUAAUAUCCCCGGGUCAUGACGGUACCGUAAGAAUAAGCACCGGCUAACUACGUGCCAGCAGCCGCGGUAAGAC